AAUUUUACAAGAAUAUAUCAAAACAAGAGCUAGUAAUCAAAGUUUUUCUGUCCACAUUCCAACCAACAUAUUACAACCACAUUCUGUAUACAUUGUUUUCUUCUUCUCCAUCCAUUGCAAACCCUUUACUUGCUUGUAGCAAAACAAUCCAAAAACAAAUAAAUAUCCCACACUCAAAAUCAAAUUUAAUAUCAACAAGAAAAAUAGAAUUUUUAAAAGCUAUGAAAGAACAAAAUAACAGAACCCUUUCUGCCUUUGCAAGCUUUUUCAACAACAUAAUCUGUUUGUCUUUAAUCAGAAGACUUGGUCUUGGAUCUGUAGACAAGCUUCUUCCUCUUAGAUGUUUGGUUAUCAAAUGUAAGCACCACCUUCCCUGCUUCUGGCGCGGUAUAGUUGUUGGUGAUCACCGUUUCAUUUGCUGCUGCAAUCUUUCUUGAUUUCUCGACGAUGAUCGUGUACCCACCUUCAGCACUUGGCACAAAUUCAGCUCCAUAACACACAUCCCAUCCUACUACUCUUGCUUCCCACACCAAAUUACUCUUCUCAGUAACUGGAAAUUCAACCGUGUGUUUGGAAGCAGGCUUAACGGUAUCCUCAGUGGCAGAGUCAGCAAUGGUGAAUUCCUGUUCACCCUCCCUGCUAAGUCCACCAUAUUGAACUGGAACUUGCUCAGGGACAAUGUAUUUGAAGAGAGUCUCAGCAGAUCGUGAAGCACCAGCAAACACAAACUUGCUCUUGGUCCUGGUAGUGAAAAGUGCAUUGAUCAUCCUGUAGUAAGCUGGAUACCACCAUGGCACAUUGAUGAACACCUGCUUGGCAACAAAUUCAGGGUAGUUGUCCUGGAGUAACUGAAGUGCACGGUUGGUAGCCUGGCGAAGUUCUUUCUUGUAAAGGUAAAGUCCAGGUGAAUUUUUGAGAUCAAUAACCUGAACAAAAGUGCAUAUGCCAUCAGGGCUAAAAUCAAGAUUCCUGAUUGAUUUCUCCAUGAACUGAAUACGCCAUCUAAGAAACUUGUCCAUUUUCUCCUUAUCAGCAAAAGUAUUCUGAUACAAUUCAUUGUCCUGAAAUGCCCCAAAUGCAUUGUAACAAACUGGAUGUCCUUCCUUGUCCACACCAUGAUUGUACACCACUUUUUCUAGUCCUAAUCCUGACAGAUCUUCUUCCAAAAGUUCAUCAAUGUUAAACUCCUUACGCCAUGCUACCACACUCUUCAGCAUAGCAAAAGCUUCCUUCACUUUGAAAUCUCUGGCUCUGAGGAACUUGAGAAGGAUCACAUCACUUCUUUCAUCAGCUAAUAAGGGAAUUCCCCAGAUGGAAACUUCUUCCUCUGUUGCUGCGACUUCUUCUGCCGGAACUGCUGCAUCCUCCUCAACCGGUGCAGUACUGGUGGCAGUCACUUCAACAAUCGUCUCUUUGAUUUCUUCAACGGCUUUAGAACCAUCCUCCUCAUCUGCUGUAACCUUUUCAGUCACUUUCUCAACCGUCUCCGAUGGAUCUGCUGACGCCGGAGUUUCUUUCUUCUCUUCCACAACAGGUGGAACUUCUUUCUUCUCUUCCACUACAGGUGUAGUUUCUUUCUUCUCUUCUACCACCGCUGCUGGAACUGGUGGUUCUUCCUUCACCGGCUCUGUGGUUGCCGGUGCAGCAUCGGUGGUGGGUUCCUCAGCAGCAGAUUCUUCCUUUUUCUCCUCCUCUGCCACAGCAAUAGCUACUGCUUCAGCCUCUGGUUUCUUCUCCUCCUCCUUGACCGGAGGAGCAGUGAAUUCAUGUUUGUUCAGAGCAUCUUGAACCAACUCUUUCAACUCCGCUAAAGCCUUUUGUUCAGGAUUUGGUAGUUCAUCAACUUUAUUGCUCUCUUCCUUAAAAGAAGCAGAUUCAGUAACUGGAGUUUUUUCCUUAUCAGUUUCCUCCGUCACCGGAUCAGCAGAUUUUUCCGGUGUCUCAGGAACAGGUACCGGUUCAGGUUGAGGGGUUGAUUCCUUUUCCGGCACAGGGACAUCAGCCACAGUUGUCGGUGGCGUAGUCUCAUCAGAAGCAGGUUUCUUGGUUUCUUCAGCCAUUUUCCAGUGAUACGAAUUCUCAAGAGAAAAAGGGUAAAGAAGGUAUUUUUAGACGUGGGGAUGAAGUUAU
rnacentral:misc_RNA from 1 species